rnacentral:rRNA from 1 species
UACAGGAGGGGCAAGCGUUAUUCGGAAUUAUUGGGCGUAAAGGGCGCGUAGGCGGCCUGGCAAGUGGAAGGUGAAAUCCCUCGGCUUAACCGAGGAACUGCCCUCCAAAACUGCUUGGCUUGAGUCCGGGAGAGGUGAGUGGAAUUCCCAGUGUAGCGGUGAAAUGCGUAGAUAUUGGGAGGAACACCAGUGGCGAAGGCGGCUCACUGGACCGGAACUGACGCUGAGGCGCGAAAGCGUGGGGAGCAAACGGG